rnacentral:lncRNA from 1 species
GAUUCCCCUCACCAAACAUUAGUUGGAGUAAAAAUGGUGUGGAAGUGUACCAAUCCCAGGUAAACUCACGAUCAGCUGGUCUUUAAACAAAGCAUCAUUGGAAAUCAGUGAUGUCAACCUUCAAGAUGCAGGGCGUUACACAUGCAAAGCAGAAAAUGAUCUCGGCUCUGCAACCUGUACUGCUGAUAUUGUUGUGAAAAAAAAUGUAUUUUCUCCAAUAAUCGGGCGACGAUUACAAUCUCAAACAGUACCAACAAAUGAAGAGUCAUUUUGGAGGUGGAGGUAACGGGACAGCCAGAACCAACAGUGACGUGGUACAAAGACAAUCUUGAAAUUCCAAAAUCAUCUGGAAUGUUCCGUUUUCGAAGCCAGGGAAAUUCCCAUGCUCUAAUCAUUGAUAAAGUGUCUUUUUCUCAUGGAGGCCAAUACACAGUGAAGACAAAGAAUGAAGCUGGCGAAUCUAGUAGCUCUGCUUCAGUGUAUGUCUUUGAGCCACCACCUUCAUCUGCUCCAAAUGAAACUGUCAUCGAAACCAAAUUAUCGGGAGCUACCUCAUUCAAGCCUGAAGAAAGAACCGUCAAACUGCAAGACUUGAAUCUAGAGCCAUUUCCCUUCCAACCAGAGCCAGCGAAACCUGCCAGAAAACAAAUCGUGCCUCCACCUUGCAGUCCAUCCAAAUUUAUCAAAGGAGAUUUCCGCCAAAGUGAAUACGGAACGGACUAUGAAUCCGUGCGGAUACCCCCGAUUUGGAAACCUCAUGACUCAGACUCUGAAGACAUUUCAUACCGACCUGUUCGCCCGAAUUUAACACCAGUUUCAAGGCGGAAAAAGUAUGAAAAUAAUGUUCUUCCUCCGCUUAACUUUGAAGAAUCUCCACGAUCAAGUUUGAACCUGAAAAAUCAACAACCCCUGUUAAACUAAAAGAAAUCUUGUCGCCAACAAAGAUGCAGAAGUCUUUUCCUCAAUCUUCUUCCAGCAAUUCAUAUCAGACAUUUGCCUCUCAGCCAACGUAUCAAAAUCAGUCUCACCAAGCACAGUCAACAUAUCAAAAUCAGUCUCACCAAGCGCAGUCAACGUAU